UAGAGUUUGAUCCUGGCUCAGAACGAACGCUGGCGGCGUGCCUAACACAUGCAAGUCGAACGAGAAAGGGGCUUCGGCCCUGAGUAAAGUGGCGCACGGGUGAGUAACACGUAGGUAACCUGCCUCUGAGAUUGGGAUAACUCGUCGAAAGAUGGGCUAAUACCAAAUAAGACCACGAAUUCUUUGGGAUCUGAGGUCAAAAGUAGCCUCUAUUAUAAGCUAUCACUUAGAGAUGGGCCUGCGCACCAUUAGCUAAUUGGUAGGGUAAACGCCUACCAAGGCAAAGAUGGUUANCUGGUCUGAAAGGAGAUCANCCACACUGGAACUGAAACACGGUCCAGACUCCUACGNNAAGCAGCAAUGGNGGAUAUUGCCCGAGGAGCCAAAGCCUUACGCCACCACGCCCCGUUAAUCAUGNAAGCCGUCGGGUCGAAAACCUUGNCUACGAGAAGAAUGACUUUAGGGAUACAGCGCCAGAAAUGACGGUGGGUCAGAGUAUGACCUAGUGGGUGGUUCUAAUAGACUCGUAGGAGGAGUAGGGAACGUGGGGGGAUGUGGCGAUGGAGAUGGGAGCGAGUGCGAGCAGGCGCACGAAGAGGGUAGGGAGAGGAGAGGGGAUGAGGAUGGUGAGGGUGAUGAGGGGAUAGGGAGGCAAUCGGUUUAGCCGAACAAUAGCGGAGUAGGAGGGCAGGACGGAAAGGGCGGGUGGGUGGAGGGAUAUGACGGGUUGGGAGAAGAGAGAGGAGGGGCGCUACCGGCGCGUCGGGGGGGGAUGGGGCGGGCCGGUGGACGGGGGGGGAGGAUGGCGUUGUGGGGC
rnacentral:rRNA from 1 species